GAUGAACGCUAGCUACAGGCUUAACACAUGCAAGUCGAGGGGCAGCAUGAACUUAGCUUGCUAAGUUUGAUGGCGACCGGCGCACGGGUGAGUAACACGUAUGGAACCUGCCCGCCACAGGGGGAUAACCCGGGGAAACCCGGCCUAAUACCCCAUGCCGCCCGGACCGGGCAUCCGGUCCGGGCGAAAGGAGGAAUCCGGUGGCGGCUGGGCAUGCGGCGCAUUAGCUUGACGGCGGGGUAACGGCCCACCGUGGCGACGAUGCGUAGGGGUUCUGAGAGGAAGGCCCCCCACACUGGAACUGAGACACGGUCCAG
rnacentral:rRNA from 1 species